ACAGCCAUCACGUGAUCGCCGACAACCUGGGCUGGUUCUCCGACCUGCAGGGCAAGAGGUGCGUGCGGGCGGGGCGGGGCGGGGCGGGCUGCGUCCCACCCGCUGCCUCACAGCCCUCACUGAGGGCCCGGUGAGGCGCUGCUCCGCGUGCUGCUCGGUUCUCCCUCAGGCUCCGUUCCAUCGCUGCUGGGUCCCCCCCAGCUGUGAGCAUCUCAGGCACGGGAUGCUGUCAGCUCCCUCGUCCUGCCGAACUUCGGUGAUUUCCCACUCCUUUUGAUGCCCUUAAAAACGAGUUUUGCAGUAAUUGCUGAAUGAUUGAUCCUAUGGGGUAAGAACAGCCCUACGAGGUCGGGGUAGUCCUGUCUGCUUCCCAGACAGCUUCCAGGAGGAUGUCCCAUUUCGCUGUGUGGUGUUUGUUACCAAGAGCAAAGCCCCACAGCAGGCUCUUCCCUCUGGCCUUUGCUGUAGCGUCACUGUUGGCUUUCACGUUGCUGUUAAGGAAUAUCGAGGAGAUCCUGGCAGCCAAAGGGGAGAAGGUGAGACGUGUGCUUGGUGAGGAAGCCCUGGAGCUGCUGCCAGAAGGCGGGGCAGAUGCUGGCGGCCCUCAGAGCCCUCCUACAGAGGGAGAAAGUGGGGACCCCCCCCCAGAGACUGACGGCAAGGGACGGACCUGAGUGGGAUUGGUGGCGUUCUGCUGAUGGCAAGAGAGACUUUCGUGUUUCUGCCUUCAUUUCAAUGCGCUGUGCUUAGAAUAAAUGUGGGUGUCCAUCUCCUCUCUCUGUCGUGUUUUUGGUUGGUGUAGUUUUGCCUUUGGCCAAGCUGGUCAUGUCAGAGUUGGGCUGUGGAUAUUUUUCUUGGUACUUUUGCUGUUGGUAAAGCAGUUUUAGGUGCUUCAGCAGCACUGGGAAGCCUGCUUUGUUCUCAGGUGUUGCACAUCAGCAGCUGAUUGCAGUGCUCUUGGAGGUGCAUGGCAUGGCAGCUGAGCAGAAGAGGCAAUUGGGACCACCUGAGGACAUGGCCCUGACCACAGGGGAGGCGUAUCUUUCUGGGAAGAAAGGAAAAAGCCUGCUGGAGCUGUGUUAUGAUGAGCACCAGUGAUGCCCAAACCUGGAACAGCAGAGCAUGGUACAAGCUAGGUGGGUAUAUAUGUGGCUGUGCACAUCCUCCUGCCUGAUCUCCAGCUCUCUACCUGGCCCAGGAAGGAGGCAGAGGUUCAGCUCAGCCUUCUGUGCAGCAGGAAACACAUCUGCUUCGGCAGAACUCAUUACUGGAGUUUCUGAAGUCCAGGACAGCCUCUCUGGUCAAGCAUUCCACCUCCUGAAGUUUGAUCUCUGCUGUCCUCCUCUCUGGGUGUGCAUUUCCAACUUUACCGAAAGGGAUGAAAGUAAAUGUAGACCCUUGCACUUGUGUACAGGGUGAAACUGACCUCCCAGUAACAAUCCCAGCCUGGAGCUGUUGCCAAGGCUCCAUUUCUUGCUGGUGUGGGACCAGACGAUGUGCGGAAUAAGGACUGCCUUGCUGAGAGCAGGUCUGCUGGGGCACAGAGCAGCACAGCACUGAUUUCUUUCAGGAGAAAGAAGGGGAGGGAAGUGCUAUUGUCCUCCGUUGCCAGGUGCAGGAGAUAGUUCUGCUUGCUCUCAUGACAAGCCAUGGCCAGAAAACUUUGCUGGCUCACAAAGCAGGUCAGUGCCAGAUGCAGGUUUCUGCCUUAGGCAUGCUGGACCGUCCUGUGUGCAGCUCAACCAGGAGCCUCACCAGAAACAAUUAGUUCAGCUAAGUUUGAUUGAUGAGCAGAAGACUUUCUUCCUUCUUUGCAAGGUACCAGCUCUUCUGUCUUGUGGCUGCAGUGCAGGCAGCAUAGCUGGCACUUACCUUUCAGGUUUUGUCUCAUGCUCAUUCUCUGCAGGUCUCCAUAUCCCACUAAAGUUAAAGAGGGAGAGCUCCAGCUCCUGCUUUGGAGCUUCUGGCACAACUCUGUACAGGAGCAGCUGAGGAAGUGGAGGGGACAACAUACAGCUCUCACUGCAGAGUUCAGAGCAACCCCAGAACAAACUUCAAAGGAAAAAACAAAACUGGUGAAGAUGUUCCAGGAAAUGAUCCAGAACAAUUUGUGUCAUCUCAUGAUGCAGAUGUGACUGCAAAAUGUCCCUUUCCCUAUUAAAAGUAUUUUAGAAAUAAAGAAGAUCAAGGCUGCAUUUAA